GCGUAACACGUAUGCAAUCUACCUUGUACUGGGGCAUAACUUCGAGAAAUCGAUGCUAAUUCCCCAUAAUAUAAUGAAGUGGCAUCACUUUAUUAUUAAAGCUCAGGCGGUACAAGAUGAGCAUGCGUCCAAUUAGCUAGUAGGCGAGGUAACGGCUCACCUAGGCUACGAUUGGUAGGGGUUCUGAGAGGAUGAUCCCCCACACUGGUACUGAGACACGGACCAGACUCCUACGGGAGGCAGCAGUGAGGAAUAUUGCGCAAUGGACGAAAGUCUGACGCAGCCAUGCCGCGUGAAGGAUUGAAGGCCCUAUGGGUUGUAAACUUCUUUUGUAUAGGAAUAAACCCCCGAACGUGUUCGGGGCUGAAGGUACUAUAAGAAUAAGCACCGGCUAACUCCGUGCCAGCAGCCGCGGUAAUACGGAGGGUGCAAGCGUUAUCCAGAUUUAUUGGGUUUAAAGGGUCCGUAGGCGGAUCGUUAAGUCAGUGGUGAAAGCCUACCGCUCAACGGUAGAACUGCCAUUGAUACUGGCGAUCUUGAAUAUGUAUGAAGUUGGCGGAAUGUGUGGUGUAGCGGCGAAAUGCUUAGAUAUCACACAGAACACCGAUUGCGAAGGCAGCUGACUAAUACAUGAUUGACGCUGAGGGACGAAAGUGUGGGGAUCAAACAGGAUUAGAUACCCUGGUAGUCCACACCGUAAACGAUGAUCACU
rnacentral:rRNA from 1 species